rnacentral:rRNA from 1 species
UACGUAGGUGGCAAGCGUUGUCCGGAUUUACUGGGCGUAAAGCGAGCGCAGGCGGACCGUUAAGUAGGAAGUGAAAGGUCGGAGCUCAACUCCAACAUUGCUUUCUAUACUGGCGGUCUUGAGUCUCGGAGGGGAAAGCGGAACGACACGUGUAGCGGUGAAAUGCGUUGAUAUGUGUCGGAACACCAAUGGCGAAGGCAGCUUUCUGGACGAUGAC